rnacentral:rRNA from 1 species
CUUUACUGUAGCUUGGAAUUGGGUUUGGGCUUUUCUUGCGCAGCAUAGGUGGGAGGCUAAGARAAUAAGUUUGAGGACUUAUUGGAGCCAUCAGUGAGAUACCACUCUAGGAAAGCUAGAAUUCUAACCUUGAAAGCCGUUAACCGGCCAAGGAACAGUUUCAGGUGGGCAGUUUGACUGGGGCGGUCGCCUCCUAAAAAGUAACGGAGGCGUGCAAAGGUUCCCUCAGGCUGGUCGGAAAUCAGUCGUAGAGUGUAAAGGCAUAAGGGAGCUUGACUGCAAGACCUACAAGUCGAGCAGAGACGAAAGUCGGCCUUAGUGAUCCGACAGUGCCGAGUGGAAGGGCUGUCGCUCAACGGAUAAAAGUUA